rnacentral:rRNA from 1 species
GAUGAACGCUGGCGGCGUGCCUAAUACAUGCAAGUCGAGCGAACAGACGAGGAGCUUGCUCCUCUGACGUUAGCGGCGGACGGGUGAGUAACACGUGGAUAACCUACCUAUAAGACUGGGAUAACUUCGGGAAACCGGAGCUAAUACCGGAUAAUAUAUUGAACCGCAUGGUUCAAUAGUGAAAGACGGUUUUGCUGUCACUUAUAGAUGGAUCCGCGCCGCAUUAGAUAGUUGGUAAGGUAACGGCUUACCAAGGCAACGAUGCGUAGCCGACCUGAGAGGGUGGUCGGCCACACUAGAGCUGAGACACGGUCCAGACUCCUACGGGAGGCAGCAGUAGGGAAUCUUCCGCAAUGGGCGAGAGCCUGACGGAGCAACGCCGCGUGAAUGAUGAAGGUCUUCGGAUCGUAAAACUCUGUUAUUAGGGAAGAACAAAUGUGUAAGUAACUAUGCACGUCUUGACGGUACCUAAUCAGAAAGCCACGGCUAACUACGUG